CCUACGGGAGGCAGCAGUGGGGAAUUUUGGACAAUGGGCGCAAGCCUGAUCCAGCCAUGCCGCGUGUGGGAAGAAGGCCUUCGGGUUGUAAACCACUUUUGUCAGGGAAGAAACGGUCUGAACUAAUACUUUGGACUAAUGACGGUACCUGAAGAAUAAGCACCGGCUAACUACGUGCCAGCAGCCGCGGUAAUACGUAGGGUGCAAGCGUUAAUCGGAAUUACUGGGCGUAAAGCGUGCGCAGGCGGCUUUGCAAGACAGAUGUGAAAUCCCCGGGCUCAACCUGGGAACUGCAUUUGUGACUGCAUGGCUAGAGUACGGUAGAGGGGGAUGGAAUUCCGCGUGUAGCAGUGAAAUGCGUAGAUAUGCGGAGGAACACCGAUGGCGAAGGCAAUCCCCUGGACCUGUACUGACGCUCAUGCACGAAAGCGUGGGGAGCAAACAGGAUUAGAUACCCUGGUAGUCCACGCCCUAAACGAUGUCAACUGGUUGUUGGGAGGGUUUCUUCUCAGUAACGAGCUAACGCGUAGAAGUUGACCGCGUGGGGAGUCGGCCGNGAAGGUUAGAACUCAAAUGAAGUUGACGGCGUGAGACGCGACGACGGACGACGACGAGGGAGGAGG
rnacentral:rRNA from 1 species